rnacentral:rRNA from 1 species
GGAUCCAGACUUUGAUCAUGGCUCAGGACGAACGCUGGCGGCGUGCCUAACACAUGCAAGUCGAACGGAACUUCUUUAAAGGAUUUCUUCGGAAUGAAUUUGAUUAAGUUUAGUGGCGGACGGGUGAGUAACGCGUGAGUAACCUGCCUCUAAGAGGGGAAUAACAUUCUGAAAAGAAUGCUAAUACCGCAUAACAUAUAUUUAUCGCAUGGUAGAUAUAUCAAAGAUUUAUCGCUCAGAGAUGGACUCGCGUCCGAUUAGUUAGUUGGUGAGGUAACGGCUCACCAAGACCGCGAUCGGUAGCCGGACUGAGAGGUUGAACGGCCACAUUGGGACUGAGACACGGCCCAGACUCCUACGGGAGGCAGCAGUGGGGGAUAUUGCGCAAUGGGGGAAACCCUGACGCAGCAACGCCGCGUGAAGGAUGAAGGUCUUCGGAUUGUAAACUUCUUUUAUUAAGGACGAAGAAAGUGACGGUACUUAAUGAAUAAGCUCCGGCUAACUACGUGCCAGCAGCCGCGGUAAUACGUAGGGAGCAAGCGUUGUCCGGAUUUACUGGGUGUAAAGGGUGCGUAGGCGGCUUUGCAAGUCAGAUGUGAAAUCUAUGGGCUCAACCCAUAGCCUGCAUUUGAAACUGCAGAGCUUGAGUGAAGUAGAGGCAGGCGGAAUUCCCCGUGUAGCGGUGAAAUGCGUAGAGAUGGGGAGGAACACCAGUGGCGAAGGCGGCCUGCUGGGCUUUAACUGACGCUGAGGCACGAAAGCGUGGGUAGCAAACAGGAUUAGAUACCCUGGUAGUCCACGCUGUAAACGAUGAUUACUAGGUGUGGGGGGUCUGACCCCUUCCGUGCCGGAGUUAACACAAUAAGUAAUCCACCUGGGGAGUACGGCCGCAAGGUUGCAACUCAAAUGAAUUGACGG